rnacentral:tRNA from 1 species
GGAGGGUAUAGCUCAGCGGUAGAGCACGUGCUUAGCAUGCACGAGGUCCUGGGUUCAAUCCCCAGUACCUCCA